UACGUAGGGGGCUAGCGUUAUCCAGAAUUACUGGCGUAAGCGCGUGUAGGCGGUGUCCAAGUCGGGUGUGAAAGCCUUGAGCUCAACUCAAGAAAUGCACUCGGUACUGGGUGACUAGAGGACCGGAGAGGAUAGUGGAAUUCCCAGUGUAGUGGUGAAAUACGUAGAGAUUGGGAAGAACACCAGUGGCGAAGGCGGCUAUCUGGACGGUUUCUGACGCUAAGACGCGAAAGCGUGGGGAGCAAACAGG
rnacentral:rRNA from 1 species